GCUUUUUGUAUAUGAUGAAAAACAUGUUGGUAGGGACAUCUGAACAAAUCUGAUGAAUGCCAACGUUUCUGACCUGGUGU